UAGGGAAUCUUCCGCAAUGGGCGAAAGCCUGACGGAGCAACGCCGCGUGAGUGAUGAAGGUCUUCGGAUCGUAAAACUCUGUUAUUAGGGAAGAACAAAUGUGUAAGUAACUAUGCACAUCUUGACGGUACGUAAUCAGAAAGCCACGGCUAACUACGUGCCAGCAGCCGCGGUAAUACGUAGGUGGCAAGCGUUAUCCGGAAUUAUUGGGCGUAAAGCGCGCGUAGGCGGUUUUUUAAGUCUGAUGUGAAAGCCCACGGCUCAACCGUGGAGGGUCAUUGGAAACUGGAAAACUUGAGUGCAGAAGAGGAAAGUGGAAUUCCAUGUGUAGCGGUGAAAUGCGCAGAGAUAUGGAGGAACACCAGUGGCGAAGGCGACUUUCUGGUCUGUAACUGACGCUGAUGUGCGAAAGCGUGGGGAUCAAACAGG
rnacentral:rRNA from 1 species